rnacentral:rRNA from 1 species
GAUGAACGCUGGCGGCGUGCUUAACACAUGCAAGUCGAACGGUGAAGCAGAGCUUGCUCUGUGGAUCAGUGGCGAACGGGUGAGUAACACGUGAGCAACCUGCCCCUGACUCUGGGAUAAGCGCUGGAAACGGCGUCUAAUACUGGAUAUGAGCUGCGACCGCAUGGUCAGCAGUUGGAAAGAUUUUUCGGUCUGGGAUGGGCUCACGGCCUAUCAGCUUGUUGGUGAGGUAAUGGCUCACCAAGGCGUCGACGGGUAGCCGGCCUGAGAGGGUGACCGGCCACACUGGGACUGAGACACGGCCCAGACUCCUACGGGAGGCAGCAGUGGGGAAUAUUGCACAAUGGGCGAAAGCCUGAUGCAGCAACGCCGCGUGAGGGAUGACGGCCUUCGGGUUGUAAACCUCUUUUAGCAGGGAAGAAGCGAGAGUGACGGUACCUGCAGAAAAAGCGCCGGCUAACUACGUG